ACUCUCCCUUUGGCUCUGCAGAAAUGGAAGGCUGAAAAUCCUUGUUACACAGAGACUUUGUCGCCAGAACUCCAACAUCCAAAAGUAGAUAAUGAACCAAUAUUUCUAAGAUGAAGAAUAUGACCUGUGGGGAGGUGUGACAAUAAUGAGGAAGACUAACUGGAUUGGUUGUGACCGCUGCCCACGAUGGUUCCACCAGUCCUGUAUGAAAACCAUCACAUCUUUAUAGAACAUCCUAUAUAGAUGUCGGUCCCUCUCCUUGUUCCGGCGGCGUUCGAAGUCGCCGACCUUCUAGCCAUCGCUGAUCCUCU